rnacentral:rRNA from 1 species
AAUAGAUACCCGGGUAGGUCCACGCCGUAAACGAUGAGUGCUAAGUGUUGGGGGGGUUUCCGCCUCUCAGUGCUGCAGCUAACGCAUUAAGCACUCCGCCUGGGGAGUACGGUCGCAAGACUGAAACUCAAAGGAAUUGACGGGGGCCCGCACAAGCGGUGGAGCAUGUGGUUUAAUUCGAAGCAACGCGAAGAACCUUACCAGGUCUUGACAUCCCGGUGACCACUAUGGAGACAUAGUUUCCCCUUCGGGGGCAACGGUGACAGGUGGUGCAUGGUUGUCGUCAGCUCGUGUCGUGAGAUGUUGGGUUAAGUCCCGCAACGAGCGCAACCCUUAUUCUUAGUUGCCAUCAUUCAGUUGGGCACUCUAAGGAGACUGCCGGUGAUAAACCGGAGGAAGGUGGGGAUGACGUCAAAUCAUCAUGCCCCUUAUGACCUGGGCUACACACGUGCUACAAUGGACGGUACAAACGGUUGCCAACCCGCGAGGGGAGCUAAUCCGAUAAAACCGUUCUCAGUUCGGAUUGUAGGCUGCAACUCGCCUAC